GGACUACACGGGUAUCUAAUCCCGUUCGCUCCCCCAGCUUUCGCGCCUCAGCGUCAAGAAUGCCCCAGGAGACCGCCUUCGCCAAUGGUGUUCCUACCGAUCUCUACGCAUUUCACCGCUACACCGGUAAUUCCAUCUCCCCCUAGCACCUUCAAGGCUGACAGUAUCCACCGACCCUCCGAGGUUGAGCCUCGGGCUUUCACAGCGGACUUACCAACCCGCCUACGCGCGCUUUACGCCCAGUAACUUCGGACAACGCUCGCCCCCUACGUAUUACCGCGGCUGCUGGCAC
rnacentral:rRNA from 1 species